AAAAAGGAAUUUCUUUAUUUUUUUCAAUCAGAUUCCAAGAAUUCAUUUAAUUAACAUUUGAACAAUCACAAGUUUUAGUACAACGAGAGUAAAGAAGCAUAAACUGCUUGAGAUGACACUGGAGAGCAUGAGUAGACAUCCUGGAAGAAUCAUCAGGAAGCAUGUAAAGACCAUCUUUAAGCCUUAUUUUAAGAAGAGCUGUCCCCAUAUCCUUGUCCUUAUAAAAGCAAAUUUUUUAUGAAACUCAAUAAAAAUAGCAUUGUCAUCAGUCAGUUUAGACAUACUAACAAGAUUCUUUUUUAUCUCUGGAACUUGAAGCACAAAAUUUAAUUGUAAUGGACUAGUAGAUGAAGAUGAUAAGGUAGCAGAAUGUAUGUGAGUAAUAAGUAAAGCCUUAGCUAGAGUCUCAGUCCUAGGAUAGGCAACUGUGGAGUCCAAAUUGUCAGGUCCAUUUGGAACAUGGUUCGUGGUUCUUGUAUCAACAGACCAGGCAUAACCAUUGCCAAAAUUAGGAAUGGUAGUGGCAUAUACUUGAGGAUGGGUGUUACACAUUCCAACUCAGUCAAGUAGGUUCUUGAAAAGGGUCCAUUUGGCUUGGGAGUAACCCAGUUUCUAUCAAAAUGGUAGUGACAUGCAGUAGUCGUGUGUCCAAGUUUAAGACAAACUUGGUUGAUGAGACGAGAAAAAGACGAAGGAUAGCCACGAGGAGCACCACGAUGAUUGGUUCUUGAAGCAUCUUGGUAAUUUCCUCGAACAAAUGGAGGAGGGGCCUAUAAUUUCCAUUUCUUAAAGAUCCAAAUGCAAUAUUGGCUUGCAUCUUGACACUAAGAUCGGUCAUGACAUUGUGAUGCUCGAGAAGACUUUCAUGAGAUAUGAGCAAUGCUUAAACCUCUUCAAUUGAUAAAGAAUCGCUUCGAGAUGUAAUUCUAGAGACAAUAGGAUCAAAUUUAGGGCCUAGACCAUUGAGAAGUUGAAGAACAAUGUCUUCAUUCGUCAAAGAUGAAUCAACAACAUCAAGAGAGUCGGCUAAAGGCCGAGCUUCGUCAACAUAGUCCGAAACUGAUAAGUUUUCCUUCUGCACAUGAGAAAACUGACCCUUCAGUUGAAGCAGUCUUGCACGCGAUUGCUAAGAAAAUUUUUGUUCGAGAGCUUGCCAAACAACAAAGUAGGUGGAAUGAUUAGCAACAGAAGCCAAGAUCCCUUCAGAUAUGGAGGACUGGAGCCAAGAAAGCAACAAUUGAUCGUAUUUCUUCAAUUGAGUGUAGAUCAGAUUGAUUUCACUAGUGACCAAAUGCUGAACAUGAGGGACACCACUGAACAUAAUUUCAUCCAAUUCCUGCCUGAAUACUGUUGGCACAAACCGAGACUUCCACGUAGGAAAAUUAAUUCAAUCUAACUUUAAAGUAAGAGAAGAAGAGAGUGAACUGGACAAAGGAUUCCAGAUCGAUGUGGCCGGAGUAAGGGCAGGAGCAAGCACAGACAGAGGGUGAUUGAUUACAUGAGCAGUGGUACGUUUAGUUGAAUUUGUAGGAUCGAAAAAAGUGGAGGUAUGAAUCGAAGACUCCAGGUGACUGAUACCAUGUAGAAGCUCAACUAAAGCAAGCUAAAAGAGAGAAGGUAAGAACCACAGAAGAGAGAAACACAGUAAAGAAAAUGCUUAAGAAAGCUU